rnacentral:sRNA from 1 species
GCCGGGCAUGGUUGUGUACGUCUGUAAUCCCAGUGGCUUGGGAGGCUGAGACAGGAGGAUAGUGAGUUCAAAGCUAGUCUUAGCCAUGGUGAGGUGCUGAGCAACUCAGUGAGACCUUGUCUCUA